GAGUUACUCCAGCACUUUGUACAUUGAGAGAUUUGACAAACUAAGAUUGUUUUCUCUGGAGCGUCAGAGGUUGAGGG